CGGACGGGUGAGUAACGCGUGGGUAACCUGCCUCAUACAGGGGGAUAGCAGCUGGAAACGGCUGGUAAUACCGCAUAAGCGCACAGUACCACAUGGUACAGUGUGAAAAACUCCGGUGGUAUGAGAUGGACCCGCGUCUGAUUAGCUAGUUGGCGGGGUAACGGCCCACCAAGGCGACGAUCAGUAGCCGACCUGAGAGGGUGACCGGCCACAUUGGGACUGAGACACGGCCCAG
rnacentral:rRNA from 1 species